rnacentral:rRNA from 1 species
GACGAACGCUGGCGGCGUGCCUAAUACAUGCAAGUUGAGCGCUGAAGGUUGGUACUUGUACCAACUGGAUGAGCAGCGAACGGGUGAGUAACGCGUGGGGAAUCUGCCUUUGAGCGGGGGACAACAUUUGGAAACGAAUGCUAAUACCGCAUAAAAACUUUAAACACAAGUUUUAAGUUUGAAAGAUGCAAUUGCAUCACUCAAAGAUGAUCCCGCGUUGUAUUAGCUAGUUGGUGAGGUAAAGGCUCACCAAGGCGAUGAUACAUAGCCGACCUGAGAGGGUGAUCGGCCACAUUGGGGCUGAGACACGGCCCAAACUCCUACGGGAGGCAGCAGUAGGGAAUCUUCGGCAAUGGACGAAAGUCUGACCGAGCAACGCCGCGUGAGUGAAGAAGGUUUUCGGAUCGUAAAACUCUGUUGGUAGAGAAGAACGUUGGUGAGAGUGGAAAGCUCAUCAAGUGACGGUAACUACCCAGAAAGGGACGGCUAACUACGU